AGCAGCCGCGGUAAUUCCAGCUCCAAUAGCGUAUAUUAAAGUUGCUGCAGUUAAAAAGCUCGUAGUUGAAUUUCGGGACCAAUAUGUCGGUCGUGCCUCGGUACGUACUGGCAUCGUUGGUUUCUCCCUUCUGAAGAACCAUGAUGUCAUUCAUUUGGUGUCGUGGGGAAUCAGGACUGUUACUUUGAAAAAAUUAGAGUGUUUAAAGCAGGCUCACGCUUGAAUACAUUAGCAUGGAAUAAUGAAAUAGGACGUUUGAUUCUAUUUUGUUGGUUUCUAGGAUCGACGUAAUGAUUAAUAGGGAUAGUUGGGGGCAUUAGUAUUCAAUUGUCAGAGGUGAAAUUCUUGGAUUUAUUGAAGACUAACUAUGCGAAAGCAUUUGCCAAGAAUGUUUUCAUUAAUCAAGAACGAAAGUUAGAGGUUCGAAGGCGAUCAGAUACCGCCCUAGUUCUAACCGUAAACGAUGACAACCAGCGAUUAAUCGGCGUUAAUAUACGACCCGAUUAGC
rnacentral:rRNA from 1 species